UCCGGUUUGUCACCGGCAGUCUCCUUAGAGUGCCCAACUGAAUGCUGGCAACUAAGGACAAGGGUUGCGCUCGUUGCGGGACUUAACCCAACAUCUCACGACACGAGCUGACGACGGCCAUGCAGCACCUGUGUUCUGGCUCUCUUUCGGGCACAUCCACCUCUCAGCGGACUUCCUGACAUGUCAAGGGUAGGUAAGGUUUUUCGCGUUGCAUCGAAUUAAUCCACAUGCUCCGCCGCUUGUGCGGGCCCCCGUCAAUUCCUUUGAGUUUUAAUCUUGCGACCGUACUCCCCAGGCGGGAUGCUUAAUGCGUUAGCUGCGCCACUGACCAGCAAGCUGGCCAACGGCUAGCAUCCAUCGUUUACGGCGUGGACUAC
rnacentral:misc_RNA from 1 species